rnacentral:rRNA from 1 species
UGUCUGAUGGAGGGGGAUAACUACUGGAAACGGUAGCUAAUACCGCAUAACCUCGCAAGACCAAAGAGGGGGACCUUCG